rnacentral:rRNA from 1 species
GACGAACGCUGGCGGCGUGCCUAAUACAUGCAAGUAGAACGCUGAAGGAGGAGCUUGCUUCUCUGGAUGAGUUGCGAACGGGUGAGUAACGCGUAGGUAACCUGCCUGGUAGCGGGGGAUAACUAUUGGAAACGAUAGCUAAUACCGCAUAAGAGUAGAUGUUGCAUGACAUUUGCUUAAAAGGUGCAAUUGCAUCACUACCAGAUGGACCUGCGUUGUAUUAGCUAGUUGGUGGGGUAACGGCUCACCAAGGCGACGAUACAUAGCCGACCUGAGAGGGUGAUCGGCCACACUGGGACUGAGACACGGCCCAGACUCCUACGGGAGGCGGCAGUAGGGAAUCUUCGGCAAUGGACGGAAGUCUGACCGAGCAACGCCGCGUGAGUGAAGAAGGUUUUCGGAUCGUAAAGCUCUGUUGUAAGAGAAGAACGAGUGUGAGAGUGGAAAGUUCACACUGUGACGGUAUCUUACCAGAAAGGGACGGCUAACUACGUG